rnacentral:tRNA from 1 species
GCGCCGGUGGUGUAAAACGUGGCAUUGCUGCCCGGGAAGCAGAAAGUGCGGGUUCGAGUCCUGCCUGGCGCA